CCUACGGGAGGCUGCAGUGAGGAAUAUUGGUCAAUGGGCGCUAGCCUGAACCAGCCAAGUAGCGUGAAGGAUGACUGCCCUAUGGGUUGUAAACUUCUUUUAUCUGGGAAUAAAGUGCAGUAUGUAUACUGCUUUGCAUGUACCUUAUGAAUAAGGAUCGGCUAACUCCGUGCCAGCAGCCGCGGUAAUACGGAGGAUUCGAGCGUUAUCCGGCUUUAUUGGGUUUAAAGGGAGCGUAGGCGGGUUGUUACGGCAGUUGGUAAAGUUUGCGGCUCAAACGUAAAAUUGCCGUUGAUACUGGCAUCAUUGAGUACAGGAGAGGUAGGCGGAAUGCGUGGUGUAGCGGUGAAAUGCUUAGAUAUCACGAAGAACUCCGAUUGCGAAGGCAGCCUGCUGGACUGUAACUGACGCUGAUGCUCGAAAGUGUGGGGAUCAAACAGGAUUAGAUACCCUUGUAGUC
rnacentral:rRNA from 1 species